CCAGAUCAAUGAAGCAUGUGCUGCCAAUGCAAAGUGUCCCCUAAUGUAACAGAGGUUUUUGUACGACGCCUUCAUAGGAAUGUAUCACUGUGGAACACUUUUGGUGGAGGAACUAAACUGUCUGUGGGCCGUGACACCCAGCCCAGUGUGACAGUUCUGCCCCCCUCCAGUGUGGAGCUGCAGCAGGAGAAGGUCACACUCGUGUGUGUGGCCUACAAGGGCUUCCCCUCGGACUGGAAGUUGAGCUGGAAGGUUGACGGCAGCAGCUGGAGCUCAGGGGAGAGCCGCAGCGCCGCCGUUCUGAACGCGGACGGCCUCUACAGCUGGAGCAGCACGCUGAGCCUCCACCCAGAUCAGUGGAGGAACAAGGUGGUGACCUGUGAGGCCUUCAACUACAACCAACCUACUGUGAGUGUCAUUGUGUCGUAUCACAUCCUCCAACUCAGCACCUGCAGUCGCUCCCAGCUGCAGCAGUUCAGUCUCUCUACAAUCUGACUGAGGGAGGUUUUU